AUUGAACGCUGGCGGCAGGCCUAACACAUGCAAGUCGAGCGAGCGGCGGACGGGUGAGUAAUGUAUGGGGACUGCCCGAUAGAGGGGGAUAACUACUGGAAACGGUGGCUAAUACCGCAUACUGUCGGAUAACCCAUAUGGGAUUAGCUAGUAGGUAAGGUAAUGGCUUACCUAGGCGACGAUCCCUAGCUGGUCUGAGAGGAUGAUCAGCAAAAGUGGGACUGGGACAGGGCCCAGACUCCGAGGGGGGCAGCAGUGGGGAAUAUUUAACAAUGGGCGAAAGCCUGAGACACCCUGGCCGCGUGUAUGAAGAGGGCCUAGGGUUGUAAAGUAUUUUCAGUCGGGAGGCGUUACCGACAGAAGAAGCACCGGCUAACUCCGUGCCAGCAGCCGCGGUAAUUC
rnacentral:rRNA from 1 species